CCAACCCUCUUCGUCGCGCUUCUAACCCUUUUCAUUGCGUGUCCAACCCCUCCAACCCUCUUCAUCGCGAAAUACAGAAUUUAUCGUGCAACCCUCUCUCACAACCCCUCCUUCGGUGCUCCUUCUGUCAGCGCUCCUUCCGUCUCGGUGCUCACUCUCUCUCUCUCUCGCAAACCCUUCGCGGUGCUCGCUCUCUCUCGCAAGCCCUCAAUCAUUGCUCCUCCCUCAAACGUCACUGCUUCUCCAAUAAUUACCCUCACCUGUAACCCUCUGUUUCUCCUCUUACAUUCCCUUCGCGCCUCCAGUCUCCGUUAUCCUUCCUCCAUGUCCUGUUCCUGUUCGUCGAUCUCUGCUUCCUUUGCGUGUCUUGUCAUUCUCUGCCUGUGGCUGUGCUGAAGCCCUAGUUACUACUUGCAGGGUUCCACCACAGGUAAUGUUCGUUCAUCCUUUGCAAAACCAUGGCCCCCAGCUAAAGUUAAUAAUUUAAAGAAGGCUGGUCCAAAAGCUUAGACCUUGAAAAUUGCCAAGGUAGUGAAGUCGGGUGCUACCUUUAAGAAGAAGGCUAAGAAGAUCAGAACAAAGGUCACAUUCUAUUGCCCCAAGACUUUGAAGAAGGAUAGGAACCCUAAAUACCCCCGUAUUAGUGCCUCACCAAGGAACAACCUUGACCAUUAUCAAAUUCUUAAAUACCCUCUUACAACCGAGUUGGCAAUGAAGAAAAUUGGAGACAACAACACUAUGGUUUUCAUUGUUGACUUGCGUGCUGACAAGAAGAUAAUCAAGGACGCACUGAAGAAAAUAUAUGACAUCUAAGCCAAGAAAGUGAACACUUUGAUAAGGCCUCACUCUGACUAUGUUACACCUACGGUAUAUAGCCGGUCUUAAACCCGAAUAAAAGAGGAGGGUUGUGUUAGACCUUCGAUAACCAACAUAAAAAUUUAGUCGAAUCUUCAUGACAUGGAUCAAAGAUGUUAUUGCGCUAAAACUAGGUCGUUGCACGGAAGGAGCGCACUGUAUGGCUUGCGUAUAGUGUCAAAUGAGCAAGAUCCAUUGCAUCGGUGCCCGAGUGUACUUUUAAAUGAGCAAGGGUUCCCGCGUUUUCGUGAACGGACGAAGGUAAAUAUGCUAGUUCACAAAGAAAAAGGUAAAGGUAAAGGUUGGAGUAACAAAAGGUUGAGAUUUAGGACAUGGAACAUAGGCACUCUAAUAGGAAAAUCUAUGGAGGCGGUGGAUACCAUAACAAUGAGGAAGAUUAACAUCAUGUGCCUACAAGAAAUAAAAAGGGUCGGCACAAAGGCUAGGGAGUUGGAUACCUCUGGAUUUAAACUUUGGUAUACAGGAAAGGUGAAGAAUAGGAAUGUGAUAGGUAUUUUCGUGGAUAAGUAGUGGAAGAAAGAUGUAGUGGAUGUUAAGAGGGUGGGUGAUCAUAUUAUCUCUAUCAAACUUGUGGUGGAAGAAGGUACCUUUCAUAUGAUUAGUGCCUAUGCACUACAAGUGGGUUUAGACGAGCAAUACAAGAUAAGGUUUUGGGAUGAUCUAGAGAGUUUGGUCCAAGACAUACCUUCGAGAGAUAAGAUUUUCUUAGGAGGAUAUUUAAAUAGCCAUGUUGAAAGAGAAGUGUCUGAAUAUGGAAAUAUUCACGGAGGCCAUAGUUUCAGGGUGGUCAAUACCGAGGGUAAAACUAUUUUGGAUUUUUCCUCAACCUUUGACAUUCUCAUCGCAAAUACAUGUUUUAAAAAGAGAGACGAACAUCUUAUAACCUAUAGGAGUGGUAUGACAAGCUCUCAAAUCAGCUUCUUUUUGUUGAGGAGAGUUGAUCCAAAAUUUUGCAUUAAUUAUAAAAUUAUUUUGGGAGAGAUUUUAAUAACAAUGUUCUGAAAACCGGUUCGAACCGGCUGGUCGAACCGGUCGAACCGGGAACCGCUGUUAAAUACGGUUCGGAUAGAUAGUAAAACCGCCAAUUUUAAAAACCGGAAUUGAGUCGCCGAACCGGUCGGAAACCGGUCGGUCGAACCGAAUCGUGACCCGGCCGGUUUUUUAAAUUUAGGCAAAACGCUGCGUUUUGCAUGGUGAAAGGGCCAAAAGCCCAAAACGAAAAGAGAACCCUAGCUACCCACUCCUCUCCUCUCCUCUCCUCUCGAGCCUCAGCCUCCACUCUCACCAGUUCUCACUCCUCUCAGCCUAUGUUCUGCUUGCCCAAAUCAUUCACUCUCCCUUAUCCAACCCUAGCUACUCUUUUCGACCCACUGCCGCCUCUCCGUCGAGCCAUUGCCGCGUCCGUCCGUCGAGCUCGGCCACCGUUCGUCCGUGUAGCCACUGCACCCAAGUCUCCAACUCCCCUGCUCUCUUCUUCCGCGAGCUCGCCCAUCCCCUACUCUUUGCAUCUUCUUGCCAUCAGCUUCAUCUUCUUGCCGUCGUGUGGUCGGUGUCGUCCAUCAAUGAAGGGUCUGUCGGCGUCGCCUUCGAAGGACAAACUCUAGCGAUGGCUCAAGGCAGGAGAAAUAUGGAAUGACUAACAAACCCCAAGGAGAGCCUAAGGAUGCGCAACGAUCGAACAAAGGUGAAAGAGGUGUCUUCCGAAGUAUCAAAGUAUAUCCACUGGAACCAAAUGACAAGAGACUUAAUUAUGAACCACCUACAGAUUUACUUAGCAAGCUGUCCCUGGUUUCUGAAGUGAAAAAACCUGCAAAACUGCCAUCUAAGGUGCAGCCAAUUUCCUAGGUUCAGCUAUCUCAGCACUCAUAUAACAACUUAAGAUUCUUUUGAGUGGUUAAAGCCUUAAAGGUUUAUUGAAAGAGAUUCAGAAAAACAUUUUCUUUGAAUGAUAUUUUAAAGCUUACAUUAGACUAUAA